ACAAAAAGUCAUGCCUUAUUUCCCAGUUUUUCAUCCCCACUUCCAAAUCUGCCUUCUUUAAAGAGGAUUUAAUUUAAUGAUUUAUGGAGUGUGUAACCGAUGGCCAGAUUGAAUGUUCAUUCAAUUUCUUGCAUUGAAGAUGUGGAUUGAAUCCCAUUUAACCUUUACAAGAAACUGAAGAAGUUAAACGCCCCUUUUAUUUACUCAUCAUCACCCUGCAACCGUUUACAUCAUCAGAAGCAGCAAUAGUUACAAUCAACAAAUCCAUAAGCAUUUCUCUGUGUCUCCCCAAAUUCCCAAUUUCUCAUACCUGAAGACAAAAUCUGGCAUUUCUGACCCCCAUAGGGGUUGGUCGAUGGCGGUUAUAGGUGAGGGGAACGCCGGUGGUGAUAAUAUCGCAAACCUGGUUAGGAUUUUAAUUAGAGGUGCUCGAUUGCCGUGAAUAGAAGGGUGGCAACAGUUAAAGUUGAUGAAGGACUGUGAACAUGGCAAAAGGAUGGCGGCGGAGCCGGAGAAAGGUGGAUGAGGUGAUUGCGGAGGUCCGGCGAUGGGGGCGGCGAUAAUGGCUUCGGUCAUGACCCUGCGGAUAUUGCUGGACUUGAAUCUGCACUAAAUAACCACAAAGUGUUAGUCUUUUCUUCAUGGAGUGAUUGCUUUUUAUCCAUGGAGUGAUUGCUUUUUAUCUGUUGGAGAUGAUUCGUGUGUCGCUUUAGCUUCACUUGACACUUUACGGGUCGAGAGAAUGCAUAGCAACAUCUGCAUGGUGGCGAGGGAGGGACGACUGACUGAACAAUUUGCUACUUCAGUGCAAAAUAUUCUUACCGUUGAUAUGAGGUACAAUCCUUUAUCAUAUUUCCAAUUUAUUUGUAUUUAUCUUACUAGCUAUAUGCAACACUUGAUGAACUUUUUCAGAUACUUCUGUUUGAAACUGAAUUUGACAUAAAUAUCAUACAUUUUUUGUUUAUAUUAUAUAAAUUGUCAACUUACAAGCUGCAUAAUGCUUUCCCGAUCAUAACCUAGUAGUUUGGCGGCGUUCACUGAACUUACUAUCAAGGUAUGUAUGUUAUGAGGUUAUAUAUACGCACACGCCCACACACUUUUUUGUUGUAGUUGUUGUUGUUGUUGUUAUUGUUAUUAUUACAAUGAUGGUGUUUUAAUGUUGUAUGGCGCUGGACAUCAUUCGUCUGUGGAAUGGAUUCUGCUAAACAAGAGAGGCAACCACUAUUGAUAAGCCAGAGACCGGAAUGGUCCAAUGCUACUGAGUUGUUCCCAAACGACGACCCUAAUUCCAUCAUUCGAUUGCAUACUUGGAAUGGUUUGCCGAGAUCAUGGGCUACUUUCGAGCCAUGUAUUUGUAUGCGGGUUGACUUUUUUUUAUUCUUAUUUGUUGUUUUCCAGCGUUAUAUAUACAGAAAAAGUAACCAGCUGCGAAGUGUAUGUAGUUUUCAUGAAGACAAGAUCAGCUGCAUUUGUUUUGCAGCGUUUGCGUUAGAUAUGUUGUUUUGCAGCCUAACUAAAUUUAGGAGUUACAUCGUUUUUACUUUGAAAUUCGUUGAAGCUGUCAUAUUUCAGACUAUUAAGUUUACGACACUAAUCCAUUCAAUACUAAUAUACUAUGUUAAGAGUCUUUUCUAUGAAAGUGUUUUCGCUUAAAGUAUUCAAUAUUGACAUACGUAAAAUGUAAUAAACAAAUUACUUUUGUAUCUCUGAUUUAAAUUUAAUGUAGUUUGCUUCCUUCUUUACCCUAACAGGUUUGAGGGCACUUCGAGCAGUGUAGCUUCAAGAACUUAAAUCUCUGUGGCUUCCAUCCCUGAUCCCGCCGGUUUCCAGUCUCUCCAUGGCUUCAAUCCUUGGCUCCCCGUGUGUCUCUCUUCUUUCUCUCACGGUCUCUCUAUCUCCUUCUCUUUCCCUCUCUAUUUAAAUUUUUUUUUCAAUAUAAAAAAGGGUGUGGAUGGUGAGAAAUGUUCUCAGGGACCAACAAGUCAAUUCCAAUGGUUUUCUUUAUCACUGAUGGCACUGCUGAAAAUGAAAGACAGAUCUGUGAAGUAAUGCAGAAGCAACAAAAAACAAAGGAUCAGAACUGUUUCCUCGUAUUCACACGUUUGGUAUAGGUUCAUUCUGCAAUCAUUACUUCUUGCGAAUGCUAGCGAUGAUGAGCAAGGGACAUUAUGAUGCCUCUUAUGACACGGAGAUAUAUACGAGAAGCCACUGAUGACUAUUGUGGGCUUCUAAACCUGCUUCUUCAAUAAUGACAUGUAAUUGAUGGUCCAGAUGAUCUGGAAAUUUACCCUUCAACCAUUCCAGAUCUUUGUUAUAAUAGACCAUUGAUCAUAUCAGGGAGAUAGAAAAACUGGAAGCUAAGGGCACCAUUGCUGAUAUGAGUAACUUCACUAUUGACAUAGAAGUACAACACACAAAUGACAUACCACUUGAAAAGGCUGAUGUGCGUUUUUGUUUGAGGCUUUCGUUUGUGAAGAUGGUUUGGUGGACCAUUUGUGUUUGGGUUAAGGUCUUAACAGCGCUUUCGAAAUCUAUGACAUGAUUUUAACUUCAACUUAACUUGAACAGGACUCCCUCAAUAGGAGUAUUGGUAAUUUCCUUCCAAAUCAUACACAAGCAGUUUGUGAAUUUUAGAGAGAAGUCGACAUCCAUUUGGCCUAUUGGCAACAGAGAUGCAGAGGAAAUCUUUGAAGAGGUAUUAUUUGAUAGGAUUGGGCAAUCCGCUUCAGAUGCUCGGACGUUUUCAAGCCGUGAAAGAGAGUUAGAUUGAUUUCAAUUAUGUUACAAUAUUUGUCUUAGUGGUAUUUCUUUAUAUACCUAAAGAGACAGAUCAACUUUUUAAUGGGUUUCGUAAGAAAUGGGAUUCGGGUAGUCAUGAUGAAACCGUGUGUUGAUGGAGUUUACAAGGUGAUUUACACUCUGUCGCAUCGUGCGAGCUCCUGACUAGGUUGUACAACAACCUCCCAUGAUAUCAUCACUUCACUACCACUUGAUUGCCUGAUGUCAUGUCGUGUUGUCGACUCCGCCGCAACGCACGGGUUUCCCACUAUUGCAUACAAAUGGACCACCAUCUUAUCUUGAAGGGCUUUCUACGGUUUGUAUUCAAGCAAUAAGAACUCUCCAUCUUAUCGUGAAGGGCUUUCUACGGUUCUCAAGCACCCUGCAAUUGGAGGAUUCUUGACGCACAAUGGAUGGAACUCAACACUUGAGAGUAUUAGCAGUGGUGUUCCGGUCCUUUGUUGGCCGUUUUUUGCAGAACAACAAACAAAUUGUCGGGAUCGGAAUGGAAAUCGAUACAAAUGUCAAGAGAGAGUAGGUGGAGGCUCAAGUGUGGGAGAUCAUAGAUGGGACGAAAGGAAAGAUGAUGAAAGUGAAAGCUUUGGACUUGAAGAAGAAAGCUGGAGAAGCAGACACCAUUGAUGGAUCGUCUUAUCUCAACUUUGACCAAUUAGUUACCAAAAUUCUGUUAAAAAGUGAAGUUGCAAUUUAUAUGUAUACUUUCUACCAGCAGAUAAACAUUCUAUUGUCCUUAGUUUAAUUCUUUGCACUAUCAAUAUCAUUCAUAUU